AGUAACGCGUGAGGAACCUGCCUCAAAGAGGGGGACAACAGUUGGAAACGACUGCUAAUACCGCAUAAGCCCACGGCUCGGCAUCGAGCAGAGGGAAAAGGAGCAAUCCGCUUUGAGAUGGCCUCGCGUCCGAUUAGCUAGUUGGUGAGGUAACGGCCCACCAAGGCGACGAUCGGUAGCCGGACUGAGAGGUUGAACGGCCANAUUGGGACUGAGACACGGCCCAGACUCCUACGGGAGGCAGCAUG
rnacentral:rRNA from 1 species